GGCUUGAGGUGGCUUCCGGCCGCCAGGCGAGACUCCGCGGGAAAACUCCCUGCUAGAGAGACUAGGAGAUUUGGGGCUGCGGCCGUUUCCUCCGGAGCACCCACGGGACUGUGUGCUGGGGUCCCUCCACCGGCUGUGUCCUUUAUUCUUCUUUCUCACCCAACGAUUUACCUGAACGGUUAUAAAGUGCACGUUAUUUCCCUAAGCACUUUGAGUAUAUUGGCCCACUGCAUUCUGGACUUCAAAAUUUCUGAUGCGAAAUAUGCUGAUACUUUUGUUGAAGAAAUCUGGGCUUUGAGCAUCUGUAAGAUAUUUGUUGGAAGGUUUUGUCUGGUCCUUCUUACUGAUGUGUUGCUCUUCUUCAUGGCUCGUGAAAACUAUUAGAGUCAUCCAAGCAGUUCUGGAAAUCGCCUGGAUCCAAACAGCUGCAACUUUUGGGCAGAGCCUCAGAUAUUUCUCUAGGCCUCCCUGCCGUACGGCCAGAAGCCUGUCCAAACAAGUUAUCAUUUGCCUUAUGUUAAUGUGAUAAGCAGCCCUCGAUAUCCAAUGGAAAGAUCAAAGGUUCUUCAUUCAAAAAGAAGCAAUAUCCUUUUGCCUGAUAUGGGGUGGGAAGGGUAGGUGGCGAUGAUAUUUCAAAUGAAUUAGAAACCACCUCCCAUUUGAUGAUAGCUGGAGAAAUGGACUGACCUAGAAGUUACAGGACCAGAAACUACAGUCACCACUAACCUUUCUACGUGGCACCCAGCCCCACUUGGAGACAUUAUUUUUCCAUCAAACACAACCGUACUGCACAGACAUCUUCACUGUCUGUUGCAAAGAUUGGAAUACGUAGAUUUCUGUUCAAAAUUAAAUAAUAUUUUAAAUACA
rnacentral:lncRNA from 1 species